rnacentral:rRNA from 1 species
CUUUCCCUCUCUCUUGCUGCUUUACACAUGCAAGUCGAACGGCAGCGCGGACUUCGGUCUGGCGGCGAGUGGCGAACGGGUGAGUAAUGUAUCGGAACGUGCCCAGUAGCGGGGGAUAACUACGCGAAAGCGUGGCUAAUACCGCAUACGCCCUACGGGUGAAAGCAGGGGAUCGUAAGACCUUGCACUAUUGGAGCGGCCGAUAUCGGAUUAGCUAGUUGGUGAGGUAACGGCUCACCAAGGCGACGAUCCGUAGCUGGUUUGAGAGGACGACCAGCCACCCUGGGACUGAGACACGGCCCAGACGACUACGGGAGGCAGCAGUGGGGAAGUUUGGACAAUGGGGGCAACCCUGAUCCAACCAUCCCGCGUGUGAGAUGAAGGCCUUCGGGUUGUAAAGCACUUUUGGCAGGAAAGAAACGUCGCGGGCUAAUACCCCGUGGAACUGACGGUACCUGCAGAAUAAGCACCGGCUAACUACGUG